rnacentral:lncRNA from 1 species
UGCAUUCUAGCAGAAGACAAUAAGGAAGUUUGAUGUCAUUUCAAUGGCGCAUAACAUAAAACAUAAAAAAUUCCAUUUAAUCAGGUCCUUCUGACAUAUAGCUAAGCUUCUAUCCAAUCAGGUUUUUUAUCUGUCGAAAGAGCCAGAAGAAAGCAGUUUAUUAUGUCGUACAUGCUUCCAGAGUAAGGACAUAGGAGACAUAAACCAGCCAACUCUUUUUUCCUUCUCUUUCGUUUGUCAUUU